UACGAGGGGAGCAAGCGUUGUUCGGAUUUACUGGGCGUAAAGGGCGCGUAGGCGGUCGUGACAAGUCACUUGUGAAAUCUCCAGGCUCAACCUGGAGGGGUCAUUCGAUACUGCCGUGACUAGAGUUCGGUAGGGGAGUGUGGAAUUCCUGGUGGAGCGGUGAAAUGCGCAGAUAUCAGGAGGAACACCCGUAGCGAAGGCGGCACUCUGGGCCGAUACUGACACUGAGGAGCGAAAGCGUGGGGAGCGAACAGG
rnacentral:rRNA from 1 species